CUGUAGCGAACUAAGCCAACCAUGCUCUUUUCCCCAUGGGAGACCAGGGUGCAAUGGCCUCAAGCAGCCUUCCCAAUGGUGCAUGCUGCCGGUAUAACCUUCCUAAGUGACCUGAGAGACAAGC
ensembl:snoRNA SNORA70 Small nucleolar RNA SNORA70